GACGUAGGGCGCGAGCGUUGUCCGGAUUUAUUGGGCGUAAAGAGCUCGUAGGCGGCUUGUCGCGUCGACCGUGAAAACUUGGGGCUCAACCCCAAGCCUGCGGUCGAUACGGGCAGGCUAGAGUUCGGUAGGGGAGACUGGAAUUCCUGGUGUAGCGGUGAAAUGCGCAGAUAUCAGGAGGAACACCGGUGGCGAAGGCAGCUCGCUGGGACGUUACUGACGCUGAGACGCGAAAGCGUGGGGAGCAAACAGG
rnacentral:rRNA from 1 species